GACGAACCGUACGAACGUUAUUCGGAGUUACUGGGCUUAAAGGGUGCGUAGGCUGCGCAGUAAGUUGGGUGUGAAAUCCCUCGGCUUAACCGAGGAACUGCGCCCAAAACUACUGUGCUCGAGGGAGACAGAGGUGAGCGGAACUUAGGGUGGAGCGGUGAAAUGCGUUGAUAUCCUAAGGAACACCUGUGGCGAAAGCGGCUCACUGGGUCUCUUCUGACGCUGAGGCACGAAAGCUAGGGUAGCGAACGGG
rnacentral:rRNA from 1 species